rfam:Salmo salar isolate Sally breed double haploid chromosome ssa14, whole genome shotgun sequence.
CCCUGUAGCUCAGUUGGUAGAGCAUGGUGUUUGCAACGCCAGGGUUGUGGGUUCAAUUCCCACAGGGG